rnacentral:rRNA from 1 species
UACGUAGGGGGCAAGCGUUGUCCGGAAUUAUUGGGCGUAAAGAGCGCGUAGGCGGUCCGAUAAGUCGGCUGUGAAAGUCAGGGGCUCAACCCUUGAAAGCCGGCCGAUACUGUCGGACUAGAGUCCGGAAGAGGCAAGUGGAAUUCCCGGUGUAGCGGUGAAAUGCGCAGAUAUCGGGAGGAACACCAAUGGCGAAGGCAGCUCGCUGGGACGUUACUGACGCUGAGACGCGAAAGCGUGGGGAGCAAACAGG